ACAUCAAAUUAUUUCAAAGGUCUGAUGCUUAUUCUAUGUUAUCUCAUAGUGGCAGCCAGUUUUUUGUACACGUUGAUCCUAGUAAUGAUGAUUAACACUCGGAGAACGUUUGGUCAUGGAAAUUUACUGCAAGCUGAACUUUUGCAUUUGCAUUGGUUCUGAAACCCACAUUGCUUCAGUUCGUUGGAACCUGCAAACAUUAGAGGACUCACACAAAUGGUUUGUCUUUAAAUGGUGUUUGGUUUCAUUAGUUGAACUGUACUGUAAUCUUUUUGUGGCUUGACAGUUGAUCUUUUCUCUUCUUUUGUCAUCUUCCUCUUUAACUUGUUUAUCAUAAACUUGAGAGCUGUAAUCUAUAUUCAUUAAUUGUAAGCUCUUUCUUUUAUUGUUC